AGUAAAAUUUCUCUUUCCCAGACGCUCCACUGCAAAAGUGCUGCCGGAGUUGCCAGAGUAGGCAGUGAUAAGAAAACGCGCGGAGUGCAAAGGGUUAAAGAUGACUGGUGGACUGGUGUUAAAUACAAUGAAACUCUUGGCAAAAAUGAUGGAAGUAUUGGCAGUGAAUAUCAGAACAUAGCCUAUAUUGUUGCCUAUGUUAUUGCAUUUUGAAUAAGUUGGUUAAUAUGGCCAAUAUAGUAAAUAUUAUUGGUGCUGAUAUGCUUACUGAAGCAGAAAGACAUGUACAAAGAAAUGGGAGACAUUUCCGAACCCGAGAAGUUCCAUUUGAACUUCCAGAAAACCAAUUCAUAAAAUUAUUUCGAUUAACUAGAAGACAGGUUGA